rnacentral:other from 1 species
CCUCCCCUGCUGUGCUCGUGAUUAUGGGUAUAUUUAGAACCAACACUAUUAAAUAAGGGGACCUUCCCUGACUGUCAGCCGACGGAUUCCCAUAGCAGGAAGGGUCGAAAGCAGUCAUAAGGUGCCCACCUAUUUAUAGGUUCAAAUAGCCCAUCAACACGGCAUUAAAGCGGGGGAGAA